GAUGAACGCUGGCGGCGUGCCUAAUACAUGCAAGUCGAGCGAACAGAUAAGGAGCUUGCUCCUUUGACGUUAGCGGCGGACGGGUGAGUAACACGUGGGUAACCUAUCUAUAAGACUGGAAUAACUCCGGGAAACCGGGGCUAAUGCCGGAUAACAUGUUGAACCGCAUGGUUCUACAGUGAAAGGCGGCUUUGCUGUCACUUAUAGAUGGACCCGCGCCGUAUUAGCUAGUUGGUGAGGUAACGGCUCACCAAGGCAACGAUACGUAGCCGACCUGAGAGGGUGAUCGGCCACACUGGAACUGAGACACGGUCCAGACUCCUACGGGAGGCAGCAGUAGGGAAUCUUCCGCAAUGGGCGAAAGCCUGACGGAGCAACGCCGCGUGAGUGAUGAAGGUCUUCGGAUCGUAAAACUCUGUUAUUAGGGAAGAACAAAUGCGUAAGUAACUGUGCGCGUCUUGACGGUACCUAAUCAGAAAGCCACGGAUAACUACGUG
rnacentral:rRNA from 1 species